ensembl:lncRNA
UUAGAAUUUGAGCUUUCUUGCGUGUAAUGGAAAUACUGAGUCACAUCUUGAACCAGUGAUUCAGCACCUGGUAGGAAGGCAGAGCCAACCCAGGGGAGCUCAGGUGCAUGCAGUGUACCUGAGUGACCAGAACGGAUGGAGCCAGGAUCCACCCCUUCCCAGACCUCAUUUAAGGGUUGGUGGUGGAGGCUGCCUUUAGAUAUGUCUGUAUAUGUCAGGCCUUCUGGAGGUGGCUGAGGAGCGCUACCGGAGGAGCCCGGGAUCCCCGAGGUGCAUCAGUCCCGAAAUAAGGGAGAGCAGCAGCAUCGCUCCCGGCCACCAAAGGUACACUCGUUUCGGUCAAUAGCAUUUUUUUCCCCCACUUCCCCUCGGUGUUUGCUAAAGGGCGCGGAGCUGCGUGCGAGUCCCACAGCCGGAGGAGAAAGGAAACGCGAAGAGCUUCUUCCAGCGGACGCUGCUCCCCUUCCCCUCCAUCCUGCGGGGUGAGGAACGGAGGGGCUCGGAGAGCGGCGGGGGGGAGGGUGGGAGGAAUCGCUAUUUUCCUUGAAGAACAAUUCAGGACAAUUAUUAUUAAUGCACGCAGCCGGCACCUGCGCGGCUCUCUGCCCGCUUCCCGAAUGGUACUUUUACUGCCCGUAAGCGGCGAACCAGGGCCGGUAAUAGGAUCAGGAAGGGAGGCGUUAGGCGGAAUGCCGCUGCGGCACUACUCGUAAAGGCGCGCUCCCGACAAACGCCUUCGGCCGAGAGGCUGUAAACGUUUUACGGGUAAUGAGAAAGGCAAGGGUUUGGCACGAAGGGGCGGGAAGGGUCGCACCACCUUUUGCUGGACGGGGCCGUGCUCGUUGCUGAAUGCUGGCGUGGGGGCUUCGGCCCGCCGAACGACCACGGAAAGCAAACCAGUAACUUUUACAGAGGAAAGUAAAAUAUUUCAAGUCAAGAACUCCUCUAGUAGCUGAAAAUUAACCUCUGACAACACGCGAGAUUUUCCCUCCCCGCCAUAUCAAAGAAACGUCUGUACGUUAAUUUCACCCUGAAAGAUUUGAGAAAUAACAGCGCCUCAGGGCAAAUUUUCAGCUUCAGAAGGACCCUUUGAGUCGAAGUAGGCGCAGAGAGUACGCCCAAAGCCGCGCAAUACAGCCUCAUUGAUUUUGCUGCGGUGUUCGCACGCCCGGGGAGUACAGAAGCGCAGAUCCCUGAGUUCUUCUGACGAGAUUUUAAUUAGGAAAUGGAAUUCCCCGCUCUGGAGCUGUGCCUUCGUGUAGAUGAGGCAUGACGGCUGGGAGCUUUGCCGAGGGGUGGGUUGGGGUCACGGUGACGAGAGGAGCGGAGCCAGGGCCGCCCCAAACGGCGGCUCUCUUCCUUCCGUCCUCCGUUCUUCUUUCCUUCCUUUUUUUUUUUUUUUCUUUCUCCCUUCGGUAUGCUGCUGAGAACCGACCCCGUGAAUUUCCCGAAGUGGGCCCCUUGGCGUUAUCACCGCUUAAUUCGAACGUUCCUUCCAAGAGGAAAGCAGCAGAGAGGCAAGGUGCUUGCCGCUAGCUCAGCCUGUGCGUUGUUGCCGUGGAUACGGUUCUAAAGCGGUUCGAUUUUAUCGAUGCAAAAGAAAACGUUGAAAAUUGAGGUAAGGAUUGGAUUAGCUCCGUGUCUGCCACCGCGGUGCAGUGUGCGCUGCGCGACGCGUACGAGCGGAGCUACCGCUUGCUCAGAGCUGACCUUGAGAAAGGGAAGAGCGUGACGAGGCGGGCACCGCUCCGUCGGGCUACAGCGCAUCUGUUAUCUUUAAAUGUUUGAAUCCCUUCGUCAAGAUUAUGGCGUUAUUCCAAGUGGUAAAACGCGGCUAUUUCGCUUCUCACUGCCGCAAGAAAAUAGAAACCUCCACUUUCCCCACUCUAGAAAGCAUUUUAAACCCAAAGCAUCAGAGUGUUUUUGCUUUUUAUUUUGCUUUCCCGAUUCAUAGCUGAGACGUUACAAACGAUUACGGGUUGGAAAACCUAUCGGAAACAGUGUGGUCACGUUAUGACAAAGCGCUAAUCUGACGCUUGCAAAACGGUGACAGUUGUAACGUUGUUUUUUUUUUCCUUCUCUCUCCCUUCUCCCCCUUUUGUUUCCUUUCCUUUAAAGACAAACAUUUCGAAAAAUAAAAUAAAUAUUAAUAAUAAUCCCAAACGCUCCCGCGGUGACAGUUAGUCCCCUCUCCCCAGUGCAAGGAGUCAGGCCGGGCAAUUGGAAGCUCAUGUAAUUAUUUUCAUUCUAAUCGCUUUAAUCCCCCCCCUCCCCCCCGCCGAGAGCAAAUGACGCUAAUGGGACCCACGUGGAGGAGCCCCGGGGUGGCGGCGCGGCUCCUCCCGGCCCCGUGCCCGGGCAGGUGGAGCCGGCGGGGCGGGGCUCGCCUCGGUCGGAGGCUUUACAAUAAAUAAAAUACUGCCAUACGUUGUCGGUUGUUGUUAUUACUGAUCUUCUCUCCCACCCCCGCCGCCGCCGCCCGCUGUCUGCUCUGGGCUGGUUCCGUUUGCUGCGGAGGAGGAAUGGAAAACCUCCCCACCGAUGAAGCUCGGGAUCGGUGCCGGUGAUGCGGCCUCGGAGCCGCAGGAACGCGGCAGCAGCGCUUCUCUCCGUGCCCUCGGGUGUUGGCGUCCGUGUUCGCGUACAGUACCUGCCCGCUGUUAUAAACAUCCCUCAGUACACAGCCAAUCAAUCACGCUGGCAAGCAAGCAGAUCGGGAGCCGAGAGUAUAUACAAGGCAUAAAUACAGAGACGUGAAACCCCAGUCAGCGCUGCAGUAUUUACACAUAAUUUUUCUAAGGCGCUCUCUCUAAGAGAAACCAUAUCCAGGCUAUCGGAAGUUAUGAAUUCAAGAUUAAAAAGUAGCAGAUAGUGUUAAGGAAGUAUAGUCAUUCUAAUGCUAGCGAGGGAGAUGUAAGGAAGAAAAGGAGAAAAAAAAAUGCCUGAAGCUGAAGACUUAAAAAAAAAAAUCCUAUUACACUUACAGCCGGGAACACAAACUGGAGACUGUGCAGCUGAAAAACACAAAACCGGUCAUUUAAAAAUACGAUGCGAUAGAUAUAUCUGGAAAAGACAUGAGUUUACCAGAUUUUCCAGUCAGCAGAGCUUUCUUUAUGUUGCAGUCAUUUCUAGUUCUGCUUUAAUUUGAAACAUAUUUACAUCCAGGGAUAAGUCCUUGCAACUGCGCUGUGUUUUUUCAACAAUCUCUUGAUAACAAGAGGUCUGCACAGCAGGGAGUCUGUGCCUCUUGAUGUGACACUGAGGCUUUGCUGGUGGAAGGACGUGUGUGAACACGGGUGGAAUCCCUACAGUGAGGUGCGCUGCAGAUCCAGGGCAUCCCAGUAAUGCGUAGAGAAGGGUGGUGUAUCAAAGCAGGGCAAAAUGAAGUUUCAGGACUUAAAAGAGAAAGGCGUAUAUUAUGUUGUGGUAAUUUAGGAGUUUCAGUGAAAUGGAGAAAUGGUUGGUGCUGCAAACUAGCAGGUUUGCUGUUCCUGUGUUGCAGGAUCCUGAACUAUGCCUUCUCUGGAUAGCAGGCAGCAGGUAGGCCCUGGGCUUUGUCCUGGUGGAGGAGAAUGAUCUCAGAGGGCAGGAGCUGUGUUUCAGCAUGAGGUGUCAAGGGCAUGUGCCAAAACAGCUUAUAAAGCUGGGCACCACAGUGUUCUUGCUCAAGAGAGCCCUUGUGACCACAUCCUCUCUAUGGAGUCCAUCUCAGGCAUACUUUUUCUUGUGCAGUAAUUACAUUUGUUGUGCAUGUUUUCCAAUCAAGAAUAAAUUUGAUGCUAAACUCACUUUCACUCUACGAUUGUCAGUGUUAAAUUGUAUAAGGGGCCAAAACCAAACACUACUGAUGUCAGCAGAGCAGUUUUUGAUGAUGCCCUGCAAGCUGGCUGGGUACAGUAGGCAUAAAUAGUAUGGAAAGUUGGUUUUGUUGGCCUCCUAGACACUUAAAAUAAUGUGUUUAAAUAUAUGUAUUGCCAGCACAACAGGGAUUGGAUUAUUCAGCUGCUUACAUUUAAGGUGCCCCCCAUCCUCCCCAUUAAGGACUGUGUUUAAAAUGGAUUGGAUUACUCACUUGCUUAAAGGAUAUUUCAUUUUAUAUAACCAUUUCUACUUGUCACCAUGUAAGUGAGUGCUUCAUCUAUCAGAACCUCAUCCUGCGUACUUGAUGCAUGGUUUUCUGUAGGAAUGGAUUAUGGAGUCCUUUGACAGAAACAUGUCUUGAUCUGUGGUGGAUAACACUGACACAAAAAAAAAAAAGGAUAGAAGCCUUAAAUGACAAUUUGCCACUGAAAUAGUACAUAAAAUAAAUAACAAUGCUUAAAAUAGUUGGUGAAGAGUCUAGAAAUAUUUAGUAACUUUGAUGUAAGUGGUAAUUUUUGUAAGCACCGUAGUCACCACAACACCAGUUCCAUGCUUUAAUCUUCUGGGGUGGUAAUUGUAAGGAGACUUCCAUCUGCUCUCAUCAGUGGAUUAAUUCAGGUUCACGUUAAGUUCACAGUCUUUUUUCACAAAAACUAUUGGCAACUGUAGGAAUGGUAUUUUAAUGCUAUGAGAACAUUGUGAAAGCUCACACUCUUUUCUGUUCUAAAGAUUCACCAUCAUUCA